GAUGAACGCUGGCGGCGUGCCUAAUACAUGCAAGUCGAGCGAACAGACGAGGAGCUUGCUCCUCUGACGUUAGCGGCGGACGGGUGAGUAACACGUGGAUAACCUACCUAUAAUACUGGUAUAACUUCGGGAAACCGGAGCUAAUACCGGAUAAUAUAUUGAACCGCAUGGUUCAAUAGUGAAAGACGGUUUUGCUGUCACUUAUAGAUGGAUCCGCGCCGCAUUAGCUAGUUGGUAAGGUAACGGCUUACCAAGGCAACGAUGCGUAGCCGACCCGAGAGGGUGAUCGGCCACACUGGAACUGAGACACGGUCCAGACUACUACGAGAGGCAGCAGUAGGGAAUCUGCCGCAAUGGGCGAGAGCCUGACGGAGCAACGCCGAAUGAGUGAUGAAGGUCUUCGGAUCGUAAAACUCUGUUAUUAGGGAAGAACAAAUGUGUAAGUAACUAUGCACGUCUUGACGGUACCGAAUCAGAAAGCCACGGCUAACUACGUG
rnacentral:rRNA from 1 species